GAGCUCCGGGUAGAGAGCCAGGUGUGUGAGCACCGUGAGCUCCGGGUGCAGAGCCAGGUGUGUGAGCUCCGGGUAGAGAGCCAGGUGUGUGAGCUCCGGGUGCAGAGCCAGGUGUGUGAGCUCCGGGUGCAGAGCCAGGUUACAGCCUGUUAUUGAUCUUGGGACUUUAUUUCAGAACCACAUAUUUGUCAUUCAGUAAUGGACUGUGAAGAUGUCCCAGAGCCACAUUUUGAACCCUGCCAAACAAAACCAGUGCAUCACCAUGACCACCAUUUACAGACUUUACCUGUUAGUAACUCUGGGAAUCAGCUUGAACUUGAAGAAUGUAAGAUUCGAGUAGUGCAAAACAGAUCAAUGCAAAAUAAGCCUGUUGCCUUGUGGACAGAGGAUGAAGUGUGCAAGUGGAUUAGAAGCCAAUAUCCAAGUCAAAGCUCCAUUUUUGUAGAAGCAAUAUCUGAACAUGCAAUCUCAGCUCCUUAAUCAAGAUGGAGGGCAAGCAAUCUGCUCUCCCUUCAAUGCCAAUGCUGACAUUUGCCAAUUAUGGAAAAGGCCCAAGGACGUGCUUUGUUGAGGCUCACUGCUGGAAAGUUGGAACAAAUGGGCAUUGCCCAGGAGAGCCAUCGUCAAUCAUUGCUUAAGGAAAUAUUGCAACUGCGUAUACAAGAUGAUGUGGAAAGUCUGAGUGCUGCCUUUGCAGAUGGACAUUAAAGACCCAAUGCCUGGCAGCUGUUCUGGCCAACUUUCCUCCUUGGACCCUAAA